rnacentral:rRNA from 1 species
UACGUGGGGUGCAAGCGUUAAUCGGAAUUACUGGGCGUAAAGGGCGCGUAGGCGGUGUGUCAAGUCAGGCGUGAAAGCCCCGGGCUCAACCUGGGAACCGCGCUUGAGACUGGCACGCUCGAGUUCGGGAGAGGAUGGUGGAAUUCCCAGUGUAGAGGUGAAAUUCGUAGAUAUUGGGAAGAACACCGAUGGCGAAGGCAGCCAUCUGGACCGACACUGACGCUGAGGCGCGAAAGCGUGGGGAGCAAACAGG